rnacentral:lncRNA from 1 species
GUCUCCUCUUUCGCCUCCUGCACCUUGAGAGCCCUGGGCUACUCUGUCACAGCCCCUGUUGCCCUGCGAUCUGUAGGUCCUUGGGGACGCAUAGUUAAGGUGCCAGGACAUCCUGGAAGCUGGGAAAUGGUAUGUAUUCAUUUCGUACCACCGUAGUGGAAGAGAGACUAUCCCUAUCAAUACACCUGGUAACAUUCCCAACAGUAAGUCGUGAGAUUCUGCUUGAAAUCACCUCUCAGACAAAUAAAAAACAGUCCUGGGAAAUGUACGACACUCAUUCUGCUAAAGAAAUAGGGCAAGAAAGCUUUCUAAGACCCCGAACUCCAGAUAUGCGAUGGGGCAAAUCCUGAAGCGUACAUGGCUAUCUCUCACAGCUAAAGCAUCCCUCACCCCUAUCCAGCGCUUCUUACCCCUGGCGCAAGAGAAUCACCUGCGGGGAGGAAAACUUUCAAAAUCCCUUAAACCCAAGUUGUAACCGCACAACUAAAUCAGAAUCCUUGGAGCUGGAUCUGAAAAAAAUAUGGUUGAAAGUCGUGCAGGUGAUUACAAUGUGUAGGCAAGCCAGAAAACCAUGGCUUUAACGAGCAGCUUUUGUUAGAAAUGAUUUCUCCAAUGAAUGUGAAAACGUUUGCUGCUGAAUUGUGACCUUUCCAUUUUACCUGCUUUUCCUGCAAAGUAUAUUUUGCAGACCCAGGCUGGCUUCUCCUUCUGUUCCUGGUUCACCCAGUGCCGUGUGUGCUCAGUGCAUCCUGUGCACGGGUCACUGUGUGCCCUGGCCUGGGUGAGCAUCAUUCUUCGGGGAGAACCUUGAUGAAAACAAAGCUGCAUUCCAAAAAGUUAAAACCAUGCUACUUACUGUGUUGAAGUAAAAAUUAAAAGACCCAGGGGGGCUCACCCAAAAGUUAAAACAUAAAUAAAUAACUUGGAACAUUAA